rnacentral:rRNA from 1 species
AUUGAACGCUGGCGGCAUGCUUUACACAUGCAAGUCGAACGGUAACAGGCCGCAAGGUGCUGACGAGUGGCGAACGGGUGAGUAAUGCAUCGGAACGUGCCCAGUCGUGGGGGAUAACGCAGCGAAAGCUGUGCUAAUAACGCAUACGAUCUAUGGAUGAAAGCGGGGGACCGUAAGGCCUCGCGCGAUUGGAGCGGCCGAUGGCAGAUUAGCUAGUUGGUGGGGUACAGGCCCACCAAGGCGACGAUCUGUAGCUGGUCUGAGCGGACGAACAGCCACACUGGAACCGAGACACGGCCCAGACUCCUAGGGGAGGCAGCAGUGGGGAAUUUUGGACAAUGGGCGCAAGCCUGAUCCAGCAAUGCCGCGUGCAGGAAGAAGGCCUUCGGGUUGUAAACUGCUUUUGUACGGAACGAAACGGUCUGGGUUAAUACCCUGGGCUAAUGACGGUACCGUAAGAAUAAGCACCGGCUAACUACGUGCCAGCCGCCGCGGUAAAAC